CUGGUGGCUUAAUGGGAGGCACGACCCCUGGUGGUAGGGGUGGAAGAACUCCUGGAGGGAGGACACCUGGUGGUAGGACUCCUGGAGGAAGGAGACCGCCUGGUGGCUUAAUGGGAGGCACGACCCCUGGUGGAAGGACCCCUGGUGGCAGGACUCCCGGUGGAAGAAUUCCUGGAGGAAGGACACCUGGUGGUAGGGGUGGAAGAACUCCUGGAGGAAGGACACCGGGUGGAAGAACUCCUGGAGGCAGAAUUCCCGGGGGGAGAAUUGGUGGCAAGAGACCUGGUGGUUUAACUAUAGGGGGUUUAACAAUGGGGGGUUUCACAACAGGAGGUUUGACAACGGGGGGUUUCACAACAGGGGGUUUGACAACGGGGGGUUUAACAACCGGGGGUUUGACAGUGGGAGGUUUGGGGGCAGGUUUGUGAUGGGGAGGGGGUUUCUCACAGCUACCGCAAUCGAGGACAGG
rnacentral:lncRNA from 1 species